GAAAUGCGAUAAUUAAUGUGAAUUGCAGAAUUCAGUGAAUCAUCGAGUCUUUGAACGCACAUUGCGCCCCCUGGUAUUCCGGGGGGCAUGCCUGUCCGAGCGUCAUUGCUGCCCUCAAGCACGGCUUGUGUGUUGGGCUUCCGUCCCUGGCAACGGGGACGGGCCCAAAAGGCAGUGGCGGCACCAUGUCUGGUCCUCGAGCGUAUGGGACUUUGUCACCCGCUCCCGUAGGUCCAGCUGGCAGCUAGCCUCGCAACCAAUCUUUUUAACCAGGUUGACCUCGGAUCAGGUAGGGAUACCCGCUGAACUUAAGC
rnacentral:misc_RNA from 1 species